rnacentral:lncRNA from 1 species
AAUAGAAACAAUUUUAUUCCUUCUGUUUCAAUAUGGAGAGCUUUUAUUUCUUUUUCUUGUAUAAUUGCUCUGGCUACAAUUUCUAGUACAAUGUUGAAUAGCAGUGGUGAAAUAAUGAAUAUUAGUCAGGUUUGCCUGGAGAAACAGACCAAAUAAGGGAGAUUAUAUAUAUUCUGCUGUCCGCAAGUCGGAGACUCAAGAAAGUCAGUGGUAUAAUUCCAGUCUAAGUCCAAAAGCCUGAGAACAGGGAAGUUGAUGAUGUAAACCCUAGUCCAAAGGCAGAAGGAGAGUGAUGUCCUAGAUUAAGCAGGCACUAGGAAGGGAAUGGUUCCUCCCCUCCUCCACUCUUUGUUCUUUUCAGGCCUUAACAGAUUGGAUGAUGCCUCCUGGCAUUGGGAAGGGCAAUCUUCUUUCCUGAGUCCACUGAUGCAAAUGUUAAUCUCAUCUGGAAACACCCUUACAGACACAUCCAGAAAUGAUGUUUAAUCUGGGCACCCUGUGGUCUAGUUAAGUUAACACACACAAUUGACGAUCACGGUAGGCAUCUUUGUCUUGUUCCUGAUCGUAGGGGGAAAGCUAAUGGUCUUUUGCCAUUGUGAUGUUAGCUGUGGUUUUUUUCAUAGACUUCCUUUAUCAUAUUGAGAGAUUUUCCUUCUAUUCCUAGUUCUAUUACUAUUUUUAUCAUGAAAAAGUGCUGGCUUUUGUCAAAUGCUUUUUCUGCAUUGAUUGAGAUGUUCAUGUGGGAUUUUUUCCUUUAUGUUGAACAAAACAAAAUUCAACAUAAAUCCCACUUGGUCAUGAAGUAUAAUCCUUUUAUGUUGUUGGAUUUGAUUUGCUAGUAUUUUGCUAGUAUUUUUUUUGAGGAAUUUUGCAACUAUAUUCAUAAAGGAUAUUCUACAAUUUUCUUUUCAUAUGAUGUCUUUACAUACCUUUAAUAUCAGAGUAACACUGGCCACAUCGAAUGAGCUUGGAAGUCUUGCCUCCUCUUCAAUUUUUUGUAAGAGUUGGAGAAGGAUGGUUGUUAAUUCUUCUUUAAAAAUCCAUCAGUGAAGGCAUUUGGUCCUGAUUCUUGGGAAGUUUUUAAUGUUGAUUCAAUCUCACUUAUUAUUUUUUUUAGUUCAUCUAAAAUUACUUCCCUAAAUAAGCUAUUCAAUAGACCCACGGAACCAGGAAAGGAAAAUUAACACUUUGUGGCUGCAUUGUUUUCUCACCAUCUUGUUGGAUAUGAGAUGGGGAGCUUCUGGAACACGGUCCAUCUUUUCUCUAUUCAGCUUUCAUAUUAGAAGAAAUAACUCCUUAAUGUAUCCCCUUUGCCACGGAUGAAGCCACGAGCAUCCUAUAAAAGGAAACUCACCUUCAUGUACCAGAACCUCCAGGAAGUUUCAAUGCCCAAUAAGCAAGAGAGGGGCUGGCAUGCAGGAGGCCUGGCAGAGGCAGUUUAGGAGAACAGGUUCUCUGGAAUAAGAGCCAAGCAGAGGCCUCAUUGAUGAGUGGUAAAAAUUGAGGUAUGACACUUGAAAUGGAUGCUGCCAAGCAGUGUGAUUAGUGAGACGGAUCUGUCUUACCCCAGAGGGAUGCAGGUGCUGGGGAUCUAUGCUCACUUUUCUAGAAAACGAGAAGAAACAACUACUCCAUUUGGAAACCUCAAGACUGUUUUUGAAGUUUGUGGACACACUUUGAGAGUCCACUGCAUGUCCAGAUGGUAUUCUCGAUGCAAGGACUCAGCUGUGUAGACCACAUGGAUCUUGGAACUUCACUGGGAUUGCUGCAGAAGGAAAAUAGGACCAAAGGGCCCAGCGCUGGCAAUGGAAAGCUUCAGCUUAGAAUCGACGUUCAUCAUUUCUUUUCACAACCUAUGGGACAGAACUGGUCACAUGGUCUUGGCUAACUACAAAUGGAGCAGGAACUGGCUGUGGUCAGCGCCAGAAGUUUCUACCACAGGUUUCUGACACAUGAUUGUUUUGAGGAGAAAGGUAAAGGAUGAAGUUUGGCAUUUUUCUUUCCUUUCCUAAAGAGCAACUUACUACAGUAAAGGGCACAAAUCUUGAUUGUACAGUGUGAUGAAGUUUUGCAAGUGUACAUACUCAUGUCACCAGCACCUAGAUCAAGAAAUAGAACACUCACAGCUCCUCAGAGGGCAGCCUGUGGUCUGCUCCCAGGCAAUUGUCCCCAAAUCUGUACUCUGACCUCUAACUCUAUAGGCCAGUUUUGCUUGGUUUUGUAUUUUACAUAAUGGAAUCCAUAGCCACGUGCCCUUUUGUGUGGAUGAAAAUUCAACAUUAUGCCUGUGAGAUUCACCCACGUUGUUGCAAAGAUUAGUAGUCUGUCCUUUGUUGCUGUGCGAUAUACCAUUGCCUUCUUAAAACGCCACCGUGUAAUUGAUCUUUCCAUUAUUUCAAGACAUUUGUGUUGUUUUCUGGUUGGGGCUAAAAAAACAAAGUUGCUGUGGGUUUGCUUAACUGUGAAUCUGGGGGACACGAGCAUGCAUUUCUGUGGAUUAUACACCAGGGGCGGAGUUGUUGGUUCAAACGAUCAGUGUUUGCCCUUAUUAGAUGCCUCCUCGUGGCCUAUGAAGUGGUUGUGCCAGUUUUGCUCCUGUCACCAGUGAGUGAGUUCCACUUGCUUCACAUUCUUAGCAACAUUUGAUGUUAUUUUAGUCACUCUGGUGGGUGUGAUGUGGUAUUUCAUUGUGACAUUAAUUUGCGUUUCCCUCGUGAGUUAUGAUAUUAAAUACCUUUUCAUGUGUGGAUUAACUAUCUAGAUAGUCCCUUUUGUGAAAUAUCUAGCCGACUCUUUUGCCAAUUUUUAAUUGAGUUAUCUGUCUUUUUCUUAUUGAUUUGUUUGAGUUCUUUACAUUUUCUGGUCAUGAGCCUUUUAUUGAAUAAAAGGCAACUUCUGUGAGUUUUUUCACUCUUAAU